UACAGAGGGUGCGAGCGUUGUCCGGAAUUACUGGGCGUAAAGGGCGCGUAGGCGGCCCGAUAAGUAGGACGUGAAAUUCCGCGGCUCAACCGCGGAACUGCGUUCUAGACUGUCAGGCUUGAGCACGGUAGAGGCAGAUGGAAUUCCCGGUGUAGCGGUGGAAUGCGUAGAGAUCGGGAAGAACACCAGUGGCGAAGGCGGUCUGCUGGGCCGUUGCUGACGCUGAGGCGCGACAGCGUGGGGAGCAAACAGG
rnacentral:rRNA from 1 species